CUGGAUGACCAGCUUUACAGUAAUUAUAAAAGGAGAGAGAGAGAGACAGCAGAUCAAAUUUGCAACAGAAGUUAAAGAGCGACAGCCAGAGCUUCAUAAUGUCUGCGGAGAAGAUGCGCUGGAUGGGUUUGACCCUGGGGCUGGUCCUGCUGAUUGCAGUCUCCUCAGAUGCAGUACCUUUAGCUAUACAACAGCCUGAUGAGUGCUGCUUCUUCUUCGUCAGUUUUACAAUCCCCAGUCAUGCCGUCGAAGGAAUAAAAAGACUACCGAUCCACUGCCCCAAACCAGGCUACAUAGUUACAACUCCUAAAGGAAGGAUGUGUCA
rnacentral:lncRNA from 1 species